rnacentral:rRNA from 1 species
ACGGAAGGCAGCAGUGGGGAAUAUUGGGCAAUGGGGGAAACCCUGACCCAGCAACGCCGCGUGAAGGAAGAAGGCCUUCAGGUUGUAAACUUCUUUUAAGAGGGACGAACAAAUGACGGUACCUCUUGAAUAAGCCACGGCUAACUACGUGCCAGCAGCCGCGGUAAUACGUAGGUGGCAAGCGUCGUCCGGAUUUACUGGGUGUAAAGGGCGCGUAGGUGGGAGAGCAAGUCAGGUGUGAAAUACCGCAGCUUAACUGCGGAGCUGCAUUUGAAACUGUUCUUCUUGAGUACUGGAGAGGCAGGCGGAAUUCCCAGUGUAGCGGUGAAAUGCGUAGAUAUUGGGAGGAACACCAGUGGCGAAGGCGGCCUGCUGGACAGCAACUGACACUGAGGCGCGAAAGCGUGGGGAGCAAACAGGAUUAGAUACCCUGGUA